rnacentral:lncRNA from 1 species
CAAAAUUGGUGGCACCACGCCUUUAAGAAAAAAUGCACGACCACCUCGCUGGCGACACCAUUUGCUUGCAGAAAACGCAAGUCCCGAAGAAAACAGAAAACACUUGUUUCGAAGCGCCGCC